rnacentral:rRNA from 1 species
AGUGAACGCUGGCGGUAGGCCUAACACAUGCAAGUCGAACGGCAGCACAGUAAGAGCUUGCUCUUACGGGUGGCGAGUGGCGGACGGGUGAGGAAUACAUCGGAAUCUACUUUUUCGGGGGGGAUAACGUAGGGAAACUUACGCUAAUACCGCAUACGACCUACGGGUGAAAGCAGGAGAUCUUCAGACCUUGCGCGAUUGAAUGAGCCGAUGUCGGAUUAGCUAGUUGGCGGGGUAAAGGCCCACCAAGGCGACGAUCCGUAGCUGGUCUGAGAGGAUGAUCAGCCACACUGGAACUGAGACACGGUCCAGACUCCUACGGGAGGCAGCAGUGGGGAAUAUUGGACAAUGGGCGCAAGCCUGAUCCAGCCAUACCGCGUGGGUGAAGAAGGCCUUCGGGUUGUAAAGCCCUUUUGUUGGGAAAGAAAAGCAGCAGGUUAAUACCCCGCUGUUCUGACGGUACCCAAAGAAUAAGCACCGGCUAACUUCGUG